rnacentral:lncRNA from 1 species
CACGUGACCCUUCUGCGACGAGCUUAAGGAAGGAAGCCGCGGGAGGAGGCUCUCAGAGCAGAGAGAAAGAAAAGUUGUGUCAAGCAGGGAGCAGCCGAGGUUUCACUACAGCCUGGAGUGCCGCUGUGACAACCAUUUUGAACAGCUACACAGCUUUUCCCAUCUCUCCUGCUACAGCUACGGCUCCACAGUGUAUGGAUAUGGGCCCAGUCCUCUGGCUAUACAUAGUCAAGGAGGAAAGCAUCUAAAGCUGUAGACGCCACGCACCCUACACCCUGAAUAAAACACUCAGCAGGCUAGCAAGAAGACUUAAAUUCAGAUGCCCAGCGCCCGCAUAAGAAGAUGGGCAUGGUGGUGCACACCCGUGACUCCAGCAUCUGUGGAGGCAGAGACAGGAUGCUUUCUGGGGCAUGCUAGCCUGCCAUUCUAGAAGAAUCGGUAAGUUCCAGAUUCAGUAAGGGACUUCACUUGAAAAAAUAAGGUAGAAAGAGGGGCUGGAGAGAUGGCUUAGUGGCUUAGAGCACUUGUUGUCCUUAUAGAGGACCUGGGUUCCGUUCCCAGCCCCCACAAGUGGCUCACAAACAUCCACAGCUCCAGUUACAGGGCAUCUUCUCAUCUUUGACAGGACUCAAUUUUGCAGCCUGUGAAUACCAGCACUGCGCACCUCCAUGCCUGGCCCGAUGGAACUUUUUCUCAUUAAUAACACUGAGACCAUUCUUAAACUCCACCUUCUCUGGCGACACUACACACGGCUAUACUUCAUCUUCUCUCCACAUCCCUAAAGAAAUGAGAGACUCAGAAAGACACCCUGAGGUCUUAGAAUUUGCUUCCUACUGAUCAUGAACCAUCCUAAGGCUUGCUACAUCAUCUGCAAGAUGCAGGUCCUCAUGUGGCCCACCAGAGGGAACUGCAGACACAAGUAAACUGAAGAUGUCGGUGUUCACAAGACCCGUGCGUGAUGCUGGAGAUGGAACCUAACUCUGCACAAAUGUCAGUCAAAUGCUUGGACACUGAACUUACAUAGUUCCUCAGCUCUUCAGGAUCAGUUUGUAUUAAACGAAAUUGAGGCCCGAGCUGCUGCGGGUCAGAAAUACCAGCUCGGCUGUAUGGCGAUCUCACUCUGGUUGAGUGUUCUUUCUCGAAGCCUCAGUUCCAGGCAUUCCACGGUCUCUGUGACUGCUCCUCUCCAAACCAUUUCCCUCCAUAUUCUGAAGCCACCAUCUUGGCCCACGCUGCUUCUGUCUUACUGUCUGGACAGCGCUUAAAGGGAGGCUCCUCUUGUAAUGUGGGCGUCGGGAAGAUUCUGUUAAUACAUGGAAGGAGAGGUUCUACUCCAUUGAGACCGUCUACCACUGUCAUUUACGACUCCCUGCCCUGGUCACUCUGCUCUUCUGGACUCUUCCUCGCCCUACUUUAACCCUGGAUCAACCACUUCAGACACACCAUCUCCCCUGCCAGUCCCAAGCACAGCAGGCUGGCUCUCUCUGAUAGUCCCCAGAGGUUCGAACUUCUCCUGUAACCCUCUUCUCUCCCAGAGACACACAGCCCAGCCCCGGUCGACACCUCAAGGUCAUGUUCUCAGAAAGACCUAUGUAAUGGCUAUUCCUGUUUGUCAACUUGACUCUAUCUGGAAUGACCUACAAUCCAGAAUUGGAGGGCUCACCUGUGAUCCAGAUCUUGAGGCUGGAAGACACAAGUUUCUGACCUCAAUCUUAGCAUGGAGAUCUUGAGGCACAGUGGCCAUGAAAAGCUUAGGUCCAGGCAAGGUUGUAUAUGUCUUUAAUCUCAGGAGACUUGAGACAAGGAGAUCUCUGAGUUUAAGGUCAGCCUGGGACAAAAGCAAGUCCCAGAUCCAGGCAUGGUGGUAACACACCUUUAAUCUGGGCCACACCUUCUGCUGGAGGCCUACAUAAAGACAUUGGAAGGAGGAAGAUUCCCUCUUCUUUGCACUUAGCUGCCAGCACAUCUGUUGGAACCUUCUUCUACAGAUGACCAGCUGAAACAACUAGCUGGUGGGACUGAGAACUACAAGAUUCUUGGACUUCCCAUUCACAGCUGAGCAUUGUGGGACUACAGACUGUAAGUCCUCACAAUACAUCCCCUUCAUAUAGAGAGACAUUCCCUAAGCACUGUGACCUAGAGAACCCUGACUAAUGCAGCCUACCCAACUGCCCUCCCUCCCUCACUUGUGUUUUAGGAUUUAUUGUCAAUUGACGAGUGUGCAUGUGUGUAUAUGUACACGUGUAAACACACACAGAGCGCAUGCAUAGAUGUAUGCAUCAUAUAGAUAACAUACACAUAAAUAUUAUACAAUUAUAGAUAAUCUUUACAAAGUUAUAGUUUCAUUUAUGCAUUAAUUUUUGUUUCAUAAAUACAUAUUAAAAUGUGUAAGGCUAUACAU